CGGUAAGGUUGUAUCAUUUUCGUUUAACACUCAUGUUGUUUGUAAACAUAUAAGAGUAGAACGUGUUUUAACAACUUUUUAUCACAGAAAUGUUUUAAAUCGAGUUUUUUCCGAAUAAACCUAUUAGUAGCGUCUUAUGCUACAAUUGAAUUGUUCUAUUUUGUUUUAAUUUGAAAAGCGUGAACCCUUGUUUAAGUGACAAUCAUGUUGAAGAUCUGUUUGUUGUGUUGAAUUUUUGUUGUUCGUUUGUUCUGUUUUACAUUUAUUACUAAUUUAGUUUUUAUUUUAUUUAUACUCCAAUACAACAGUUGACAUCGUCAACAUAAAAAGGUCUCGAGGUACUUGAAUAACCAGGUAUAAUCUUCAGUGAUUACAUAACUCGUCGCCGUUCUCUUUGGUUACCAUUCAUAGAUGAGAACUUUUAGUUUGUGGACGUUGUCUUUGAACGCAUCAGAACGCAUGAAUGAUAAGACGUCUGUUAGAUGAUAUCAGCUUCCGCAGAUGACACCGUUGAAAUAGAAAAUUACGCCUAGAAUAAAAACCAAACCAGCUAUCGACUUUUCUUUCUUUCUUUCUUUGGAAUCCUUAUUUUAUUAUUCUAUACUAAGACUAUAUUUAUUGCAUUGUAUACAAACUCUAAAAGUACUAGGUAACAGAAACAAAAUAACCCUGAUGUGACUACCACGUAACCAGGUGAUGUUGAAGCAGACAGCCUUGUCCAAAAAUAGGCAACGAUUCGAUAUUUUCGACCAUAAUGUGUGGCCUCACGAGAUGCGUCGAACCAUAUCAAGUGAGAAGUUUGAGAAACUUCUCCAGACGCUCAAAAACAACAUGAAACUGGUAGUAUGAAGUUUGGAAAGACUCUCCGUAUUUUGGAGGCAGAAUAAUGAAAUGCAGUCAUACACAAAGGUAUGGAUGCAGACUGGCUGGAGAACCGAAUCAAUCUAAUUGAACAUAUAUUAUACAAUAAUGGUUUCAUUUUACUUUGUACAUUAAAGAAUGACGGUUGUGAUAAUAUAUUGUGAAAACUAAUUUUUAAAUGCGACUGUAACAAGUUUUUUUAGAAAUAAACUCACACUUUAUAGAAAGUUUAUAUCCAAAAUGAAAUAACUGUAACUAACGGUCCAAAAAUAUUAGUUAAUUGAGGAUUAUAUUUAGUUCUAGUUUCAUCUUAUUAUGUUAAAGGAAUACAAUACAUACAUGAUUUCCUUACAAAAACAUUAUCCAAUUAAUGCCGUAACUGCUUUGACGUGGUAACGUAACGCGGUAGUGAAAUGAUCUGUUUCAGAGUCAACUAGGCGUACAAUAACAUGUGGUACAGUAAGUACUUGACUGGUGUCAGAUUUCACAUCAUACACAUUUCCGAGAAUAAUAAUAAAGCAUUACUUUGGCAGAGAAGUGUUAGAAAGACAUAAAAAUAAAUGAAUCGAUUCCAGUGAUUUACUUCUCGGGUUUAUUAAAAGUGAAUUGAUCGGUCAUUGGCUUAUUACUUUCUUUCAUUGUUAAUAAAAGAGUAUUUUUAUGUUCGACUUGUUUGUAAUAUUGGAUUGUCGAAAGUGAGCAAUCAACGAGAGCUUGAUUGUAUGAGUCGUUUUUAAUGAAAAAGUUAUCAAACAGAUCAAUAUCUAUCUACAGGAGGAUAAGUGUAUGUCGUAUACUCAAAUUUCCUUUUCAUACUUUUGGCACCCAGAACAAUUUCUCCAAAAAACCUUAAAAUAUAAAGUUAGAAAUGUUUGAUUCCGAGUUUUUUUGGACGCCACAGGAAUUAUUAGAAGCAGCCAAAGUAGCAGCACGUCAGUGCCAGCUAAAUUGCGGAGAAUCUACGAAACCGCGUAUUCAAACUAAUUAUAUUUCUAAAUCAAAA